rnacentral:rRNA from 1 species
AAAUUGAAGAGUUUGAUCAUGGCUCAGAUUGAACGCUGGCGGCAGGCUUAACACAUGCAAGUCGAACGGUAACAGGAAGCAGCUUGCUGCUUUGCUGACGAGUGGCGGACGGGUGAGUAAUGUCUGGGAAACUGCCUGAUGGAGGGGGAUAACUACUGGAAACGGUGGCUAAUACCGCAUAACGUCGCAAGACCAAAGAGGGGGACCUUCGGGCCUCUUGCCAUCAGAUGUGCCCAGAUGGGAUUAGCUUGUUGGUGAGGUAACGGCUCACC